rnacentral:rRNA from 1 species
GUCAUUUAAGAGGAAGUAAAAGUCGUAACAAGGUUUCCGUAGGUGAACCUGCGGAAGGAUCAUUAUCGAAUUCAAGACUGUAGCCACGACCCCUCGUGUGCACGUCUCUCUUUACAUAUACACCUCGUGCAUCGUUUGUAGGUCACCUCGAAUAAGAGGGGAUCUAUGUUUUCAUCCAUUCUCCAUGUCGUAUGUCCCACGAACGAACAUAAAUUUAUAUACAACUUUCAGCGAUGGAUCUCUUGGCUCUCGCAUCGAUGAAGAACGCAGCGAAUCGCGAUAUGUAAUGUGAAUUGCAGAUAUUCAGUGAAUCAUCGAAUCUUUGAACGCACCUUGCGCUCCUCGGUAUUCCGAGGAGCAUGCCUGUUUGAGUGUCAUUAAAUUCUCAACCAUGCCGUCUUCAUCGACGUCCAUGGCUUGGACUUUGAGGGUUGCUGGCCUUGAUCCACGACGACGCUUUGCACUGGUAAACGUCUUCGGUGGUCAGCUCUCUUGAAAUGCNUUAGUGGAUCGACUUGCGAUCUGGCAUGCAUCUGUCUCGUCGACGUGAUGAUGAUCGUCGUCUGGGCUGUAAAGCGUGUGAUCCGAGGGUCGGUCUGCUUCCAACCUCACAUGUUUCGAUGACUUCUUGACCUCAAAUCAGGUAGGACUACCCGCUGAACUUAAGCAUAUCAUUAAGCGGAGGA